rnacentral:misc_RNA from 1 species
AAACAACCUUCUUCACGAUUUUUGUAGUGAGAAAGAAGAUGAUUGGCAUGCAACAAAUCAUAAGUGCGAGGAUAUGUGGAGAACGGCUCACACCAGUCAUGAAAAACGCCUGUAAGACCCCUGCCGUAAACGGCAGACAGGGUGUCAUUCAUGGUUAUAGGAACUACAUUCAUCACCCAGACAGGCCAUGUAUUUAAACCAACAGCAAAUCCACCAAGGGAAGCACUCAUGUCCAUAACAUUACGUAUUUCUUUCUCCUCAACAUUCAUCAGUCUCCAGUAAUGGCGAACUUGAUCUUGCCAAUAGACUGUAUCAGCCAAGAAUUUUUCACGAUCAAUACCUAUCCGACUCAGACUUUGUGAAUACUCUGAAAGACGUUGUGGUCGAGGAGGUAGUUUCUUCAAAGAAGAUGAAGCGUCACUAAGGGUAACACAGUUCCUCAAAGGUGUUUUCCAUGAAGGCUUCAAAUCAUCCUCAGAAUCACAUAAGUUUACAAGUUUCUCCUGAGCAUUAUGCUGAAGACAUGAAUUAUUUUCUUGCUUAACCCAUAUUGCAGUCUGAACUUUCUGCGCAAUAAGCUUCCAGCACAUUCCAG